rnacentral:lncRNA from 1 species
CACUUUGUUACUGCAGCUGUAUUUACUCUUACACCUUUAGGGAUUUAAUUGCAUCCAUCCCCAGUCUUUCAGCUGAGUGAAACACGGCAUUUCUCAGUGCGUUCCUCUGCCUCCACUGAAAAGGUCUCUCCAGCUCUGCCAGUGGGGAGAGCAAUUUGUCACUGUUUGGCCCAGAUGGCUGAUACCAGUUCCUGAGAGUGGACAAUCCUUUGCUAUAAGGGAAGCUUGAAGAACCCA